GAUGAAGAACGUAGCGAAAUGCGAUACGUAAUGUGAAUUGCAAAUUCAGUGAAUCAUCGAGUCUUUGAACGCACAUUGCGCCCCCUGGUAUUCCGGGGGGCAUGCCUGUCCGAGCGUCAUUGCUGGCCUCAAGCACGGCUUGUGUGUUGGGCCCCGUCCUCCGAUCCCGGGGGACGGGCCCGAAAGGCAGCGGCGGCACCGCGUCCGGUCCUCGAGCGUAUGGGGCUUUGUCACCCGCUCUGUAGGCCCGGCCGGCGCUUGCCGAUCAACCCAAAUUUUUAUCCAGGUUGACCUCGGAUCAGGUAGGGAUACCCGCUGAACUUAAGCAUAUCAAUAAGCGGAGGA
rnacentral:misc_RNA from 1 species